GAUGAAGAACGUAGCGAAAUGCGAUAAGUAAUGUGAAUUGCAGAAUUCAGUGAAUCAUCGAAUCUUUGAACGCACAUUGCGCCCCUUGGUAUUCCGGGGGGCAUGCCUGUUCGAGCGUCAUUUCAACCCUCAAGCUCUGCUUGGGAUUGGGCACCGUCCUUUGCGGGCGCGCCUCAAAGACCUCGGCGGUGGCGUCUUGCCUCAAGCGUAGUAGAAUACACCUCGCUUCGGAGCGUAAGGCGUCGCCCGCCGGACGAACCUUCUGAACUUUUCUCAAGGUUGACCUCGGAUCAGGUAGGGAUACCCGCUGAACUUAAGCAUAUCAAUAAGCGGAGGA
rnacentral:misc_RNA from 1 species